rnacentral:lncRNA from 1 species
CCGAUGGCGUGGUUGAUUCAGGUGGAAGGGUGACCGACACCAGCCCUGCCGGAUUUCAGAGCUGACGAGGUGAAUUCUUGGUGAGGAUAGAGCGGAUUUCAGAGCUGCCUUUUUGUUGGAUGAGGCUGGGCUGCCCUGUUCAGUCCAGCCCGGGGGAACGACGACGGCGAGCUCUGGGGCGAUGCAGCCGGACUCUGAGAUAUGGAAUAGUAAUCAGCGGCUAUUUCUUGCCGAUUUGUGGUACCAGAAGGUGUUAUAGAUCUUUUGAUUCCCGAAGCUCUACCCCUCCAGCCCCAAAAUGUCUCCCUGGUUUCCUUAGUAGCCGAUGGCCGGCGACACGUGCGGCGGCGAUGAUGCACCCCUCUUCGCCCGAUUUCAAAAUUUUGCUGGGGUUGGGGAUAGAUUGAACCCUAAUUAAGAUGAUAAGAACACAAGGUCAACCAAGAUUUGCACAAAAUUGAUGAGAAAUACAUAUUAGCUAAGAAAAUUGGGGGUUUUCCCCUCCGUCAGUUAUCGACGAUAUGCAGGGUGUUGCUCAAAGAUUGGCCCAAGUAAAGACCCUUUCCCCAUCAGAGACUUAGCUAGGGUUUAGGAAAUC